rnacentral:rRNA from 1 species
GAUGAACGCUGGCGGCGUGCCUAAUACAUGCAAGUCGAGCGAACAGACGAGGCGCUUGCUCCUCUGACGUUAGCGGCGGACGUGUGAGUAACACGUGGAUACCCUACCUAUAAGACUGGGAUAACUUCGGGAAACCGGAGCUAAUACCGGAUAAUAUAUUGAACCGCAUGGUUCAAUAGUGAAAGACGGUGUUGCUGGCGGUUAUAGAUGGAUCCGCGCCUCAUCGUCUAGUUGGUAAGGUAGUGGCUUACCAAGGCAACGAUGGGUAGCCGGCCUGAGAGGGUGACCGGCCACAUGGGGACUGAGAUACGGCCCAGACGCCUACGGGAGGCAGCAGGGGGGAAUAUUGCACAAUGGGCGGAAGCCUGAUGCAGCAACGCCGCGUGCGGGAUGACGGCCUUCGGGUGGUAAACCGCUUUCGCCUGUGACGAAGCGUGAGUGACGGUAAUGGGUAAAGAAGCACCGGCUAACUACGUG